GUGCCGUGUACUCCCAGAUGGCCUCCGGGUCGAUCAGCGCCUGCUCGCCGAAGUACGCGCCGUCGGCGAGGACUCCGAGUACCGCGUCGUCGCCGUACGGGCCCGUGCCCACCUUCUCGACCUUGCCGUGCGCGAGCAAAAAGACCUCGUCGGCCCGGCUGCCGAACGAGGCGAGCACCUCCCCCGGUGCGAACUCCCGCUGCUCGCAGCGCUGGGCGAGCUCGCCGAGCACCUCCUGGUCCUCGUACGUCCGCAGCAGCGUCAGUUCGCCGAGCUCCGCGGGAAUGACCUGCACACGGUCACCGGUCUUCACGAAGGUGACACGGCCGUCGCCCACGGAGUAACUGAGCCGGCGGUUUACUCGGUACGUGCCACCCUGCACGUUCACCCACGGCAGCAUGCGCAGCAGCCAACGUGAGCUGAUCUCCUGCAUCUGGGGUGCGGACUUGGUGGUCGUGGCCAGGUUCCGCGCGGCCGAUGUGCCGAGACUCUGCUGGGGCCUG
rfam:Streptomyces avermitilis MA-4680 = NBRC 14893 DNA, complete genome.